AACUCUCAAACCGAAUCUUAAUUGAUGUCGGGUUUGGAUUUGGACGUUGCUGGACGUGAGUUCGGCUCGUCUUGAACGCAUUAGCUGACGAUUUCGACUUCAGUUAAACCGUGUGAUAAUACAUCAACGCGGGCAGCCGUAAGGCGCUGGGUUGUCUAUCAAAGGCUUCUAAUCGUCCCUUCAAGGACUGUCCUUUUGGGCAUUUCAUUUCAC
rnacentral:misc_RNA from 1 species